AAAUUGAAGAGUUUGAUCAUGGCUCAGAUUGAACGCUGGCGGCAGGCCUAACACAUGCAAGUCGAACGGUAACAGGAAGCAGCUUGCUGCUUCGCUGACGAGUGGCGGACGGGUGAGUAAUGUCUGGGAAACUGCCUGAUGGAGGGGGAUAACUACUGG
rnacentral:rRNA from 2 species